CAAACCCGCUCAUACAUAUUAUAUGGUAUUGAUGGAAGUGGACCGUGGUUAUCAAUAAUGUGCCCGGAUCACCCCAUUGAAAUGUAUAGGCAGGACAGUAAACCUCUGCAAUGGACUUAGUAACUGUUGUGAAAACAUAGACCAGUCCUUUGCCCGGUUGCAGCCUGGCCUCGAUGGACCUCUCCAUCCAAAAUGAACUCUG
rnacentral:misc_RNA from 1 species